CUCGACUCUGGGAUAAGCCUGGGAAACCGGGUCUAAUACUGGAUACUACCUCUCACCGCAUGGUGGGUGGUGGAAAGGGUUUACUGGUUUUGGAUGGGCUCACGGCCUAUCAGCUUGUUGGUGGGGUAAUGGCUCACCAAGGCGACGACGGGUAGCCGGCCUGAGAGGGUGACCGGCCACACUGGGACUGAGACACGGCCCAGACUCCUACGGGAGGCAGCAGUGGGGAAUAUUGCACAAUGGGCGAAAGCCUGAUGCAGCGACGCCGCGUGAGGGAUGACGGCCUUCGGGUUGUAAACCUCUUUCAGUAGGGAAGAAGCGAAAGUGACGGUACCUGCAGAAGAAGCGCCGGCUAACUACGUGCCAGCAGCCGCGGUAAUACGUAGGGCGCAAGCGUUGUCCGGAAUUAUUGGGCGUAAAGAGCUCGUAGGCGGUUUGUCGCGUCUGCUGUGAAAGCCCGGGGCUCAACCCCGGGUCUGCAGUGGGUACGGGCAGACUAGAGUGCAGUAGGGGAGACUGGAAUUCCUGGUGUAGCGGUGAAAUGCGCAGAUAUCAGGAGGAACACCGAUGGCGAAGGCAGGUCUCUGGGCUGUUACUGACGCUGAGGAGCGAAAGCAUGGGGAGCGAACAGGAUUAGAUACCCUGGUAGUCCAUGCCGUAAACGUUGGGCACUAGGUGUGGGGGACAUUCCACGUCCUCCGCGCCGUAGCUAACGCAUUAAGUGCCCCGCCUGGGGAGUACGGCCGCAAGGCUAAAACUCAAAGGAAUUGA
rnacentral:rRNA from 1 species